CUCUUGUGCGCCGCUCUCCUCCCGGGAUGGGAAGUGUUUAGUAUCAAGCGCACCCGGUCCGUCCGGCACUCUCGGCUCGUCGCGAAUCCCGCUUUCUCCCUCUGACCGACGGCAAGACUCUCAAUAAGAAACACGAAGAGACGCACAUGAAGGAUACGUGAAGACGUUGCGUCACUGGCCCCGGAGUGAGGUAAUGGCUCCACCUGACCAAUAAGGAACAGGAACCGGGGACGGUGGAUUUUAUUUAUAAGGACCCAUUUGAAAACUGCGCGAAGCCAGAGCGGAGAGGGAGGAGAGAGGUGCAGAGGAUAAUGUGGAGGGUAAACUGAAAGUCAGGUUCACCAACCUUUCUCAUUUGCGGAGAAGCUGAACAUAAAUCUUUGUAGAACCAAUUUAUAGUUUAACUUAAUCCGGAUUUAAUUUCCAUGUUUGUGCUUAGUUUAUUCCCCCUGUUUUGUUUUUUCUAUUUAAUUGAUUAACGAAGGAAGAUCAAAUACCCUGGUUUGCGAUACAAAUACAUCAUCAGUUUAAUAAAUCAAAGCAGUACAUUUAACCUGCGUGGGCCUACUUUUUUCCCGACUUGUGUCAUUCAAUUAAGAUAACUUUGAAAUGUCAGUUAUUUCAUGGUUUGCAUGCUUUUACUCAGUUACAGCUAAAACAACAUGCCUAUGUACAUGUGCACUGUAUGCAUGCAGCUCUGAUUAUUACGUGUUUUAAAUAAACACAUGCUUCAAGUUUAUGUUUCUUUUCAUUCCUCGUGCCUUUAUGCCGCUUGCAUGUGCGUAAUUGGAAACAACCGUGCGCCUCUGCCGGAGCUCCUUGUCAAUCAAAGAAAGUUGCCCAAAACGCAGAAAAAUAAUGCUUUUAAAUUAUACUUCUGAUGGGGGAGACUCCCGGGUUAUCCCGAGACCAGAGGUCAGGCAACCCUGGAGGCAAGAGGGUGUUAGUGUUUAGCUCACGGAUACUACAGAAGAGCUGAGACUCGCUUCGAGCUGGAGGAGUCUCUCCAUUUCCGCCAAUCCAGAACGUUCUCCGUCCUUCUAGAGACACUGAGAGCUGUAAAUAAAACAUAAUCACAGGAAGAUGAAACUAUAUUUCCAUGUUAAAGCGAAUUUUAAAAGAUGGACAGGCUGAGGCCUUUUAAGAAGCAGAUUGUUUAAAGAUCCAGCAAUAAAACCUCCGCCUACUUUUCAUUUAUUACAUGAAGAUAUCAUCUUAGUCGGAGUUUUUAAUUACAGUUUGGCACAAUAAAAUAAAAUAAAAAGGUUUAGAGUUGUGUGUUUGUUGCACUGUUAUGUUGAGUUAACGUUCCUAUGGUAUCAAGGCUCACUGAUGAGCGAUUGACCGCUAUCUAUUUUGGGUGCGCAGGUCGAAAAAAGAGAAUUAUUUCACAGACUGGUCCUGUUUGACGCAGCAUGUGUAAAUCCGCAGGCGCUCAACAGAUGAAUAAAAUCAAAAUCACACAGACAGAAAAAAAUUCAUGAAGCGAAAAUGAUUAAUUAUGGAGGUUAAUAAGAAUAAUCUAUACACGAUUUAUGGAAUAAACCGUGCAUAUUAAAUUUUUUCUGAGGCUAAAGGGAACCUCGCGGAACUAUUUUUUUUGUGAGAGAAGUGGAACUAUACAAUGUCAGCAUUUUUAGUAUGAUUUUUAAAAACAGUUAGAUCGGAGAUUCAUUGAAUAAAAGUAAAAAUGUAGAUUUCUGCGGUGUAUAUUUGUGCAUAGGUAUGCCAGUGCUCUCGGUGUCUGCGUGGGCCACCCUAUGAAAACCACUAUUUCCUAUAAUAAAAAGUGCAUUUGUAAUUCAAAGUUAUUGAGAUGAAAUAAUUUUCUUGAGGCAUUGCGUUCCUCCUGAUUCAAUUGAGGUAAUUCAACGUGGUUUCGGAAUUUCUCCAUUAUUUUUCAAUAUUAAAUAUCGGCGUACCCUCUCUAACAAACAAGCAGUAUCAGAGCUGUGCGUCGCAGUGCCACUUAACCAGCAUCUCUCCUCUUUACUUAAUUACGCACGGGAAUAAUUGGCAUUUACACGAAGUUGUACUAUAAUUUCAAGUGCUCUGCAGCUGUGCCGUGCGGUUUAAUUUGUAGAAAAGAUAGAUAUUAAAACCCAGAAAUGUCUAAUAAAUAAUUCCCCAGAGGAGACAGAUGUGUGUUCCGUGCUACACAGGUUGUCCUUGCAUGCAGAGGCAGACAGGCCCUGUUUUUGUAAUGAUGCUUUGCCAAUUAUUUGGCACAGGCAUGGCAACUUAACUUCACCACAAUGCAACACACAAACUUUUUUUUCCCAUAACAACGAGCAGUAAAAGCUAUGACCUAUUUGAGCGACGGCGCCCUGGGUGAUGCCAUUUUGUAGUUAACUACUUAGCCUACAUAUCUGCGUGCAGCGCAUCAGCAAUGGACGAGAAAAUGCUAACGAAAAAUCCAACUUCUAUGAAACUGAAGAAGACACGCACAUAGCAUCAAUGACGUCAGCUCUACAUCUGGGCAACAGGAGAGGAAGUCUGGGCCCACCAUGGCUGACACCAAAAUGUUAUUCUCUUUCUUGUAAUAAAGCCAUACCUAAGACACAUUACAAGACUCACUAUCAAGAUCUUAAUUGUGUGGAGCAGAAAAUCUAACUUUGCAUUUCAACAGAAAACCUCUUUACUGGACUUUGGUAGAGUCUGAGUUUUUGUUGGAGCCAACAUGAAGCUGCGUCUUGAAGGACUUGUGUAAUGGUAAUUUUGCUGAAAACAGCAUAUUCCCAUUUCUUCAUAAUAAUGCUUCAAAGGCAUCACAAGUUAAUUUUGCUGAAAGGUUGGAAUGCCACAUAAGGACUUCUUUACUUUUGGAUGGACGUGCACACACAUACUGAGAUGUGUCUUUUUGCAAGAGCAAGUAAAAUCUCUGCGGAUCAUCAUGCUGAAAAAGGAGACAAAAAGGGAAAAAUGAAAAUAGAAAGGCAGAGAGAGGGAAUAAUGAUAGGCCUGGUACUGAUGGAGGUCUGGAGGUAGGGGCAGAUGGAUGCAGAGGUUUCUCUUUCUGUCUUUUUUUCCCACCCCCCUCGCUCUGUCUCUUUUUCUCCCCCUUUCUCUCUUUCUCUUUUUUGUCUACUCUCUCUCUCUCCAUCAAGAUGCCAUUAUUCAGGACAUUAGCGAAGAAGAGCUAAAAGCUCUCACUGUCGAGGAGGGUCCCAGGGUCCUUUCUGAGAGCUGUGACGCAAACACACACACACACAAACACAUGCAUGCACACGCACACACACUUUGACUACAGAAGUACCAUAUAGUAUAGGUGAAGAGGUAAGAGGUGGUAAAAAGGUCUUAUUGCAGACAUUACCAGGUAUCUAGGCUCCUCUACUCUCCUCUGUGGCCAAAAACAUGGACAUUAGCUAACACAAAGAAAAAUGAACAGUGCUCAAUAAAGCAACAUACAGUGUGCUGCACUGGGCAGACCUCACGGGUAUAUUUACACUUUGUGAACUUUGAUACACGUCAUCUUCUCUCUUUGCUUGCUUUCUCAGCUUUCCUUUCUCCCGCCACUCUCAUAAUGACUUGAAUUAUGUGUAAAAAGAAACAGAAAAUUGGUGCAAAUUGUGUGACCAAAUUAGAUAAGGGUAUUGAUGCAAUGCUCUCGAUAGUGUAUCAACUAGAAAUUCUGCUGCAUUUAAUUGUGCUUCUUUUUAUCAGGUCCAGAGUUGUUAUCACAAGUUUGUAUUAUGUUCUUAAGAAUCUCUUAGGAGUGGAUUACACUUACAUGUUUUUGUGCCUCAUGUGAAUACCUAACUUAGACUGUAUAGAUAGAAUACCAUGCCAAUUAUACAAACAAAGCAAAACAGGAAUUGAAAGUCCUAAUAAAAAUGCUCAAUCCGC